ensembl:lncRNA
GCAAAUAAUUUUCUUUAUUACUUUGGACUUGGCUUCUCCAAAGUUAUUUUUUAAGAGAAACUAUUAUCUUCCUAUAUAAAUUGUUCUUGCAGUAUAAAUUCAUGGAAUUAAGUCUCUCUUACUAAAGCAUGUACAAGACACUUGUAGCAAGAAAGAAGCACUGUUAGAGGCUUCUUAAUUAAAUGGCAUUACCAUGUGCAUUAAUACAAAGUUGAUUUCUUCAAUAUAAAGUCCACACACAAAUUCAGGUUUUUUCCCCAAGGUUAAAAAGACUCGGAAUUGCUGGUAUAGGACACCGAUCUGGCUUUUUGUUCACUCAGAUCCAUCCCAUUUUGUAGCUUUUCUAUCUCAUUCCAAGUCAUGAUGUACCACACCGUGAGCCAGUCCUAUGUAUAAUGACUUAAAACUUCAGGCCAUGUCAGGUGUGUGAGUUAACAGGCUUCAGCAUUCACAAGAGGUUCUCACCUUCCAAGUACUCCCCGAGUAAUGAGUCACAUUCUUGGAAAGCAUCUAACUCUUUAUGAUGGAGAUGUGCUUACAUAAAAUGAAAUACUGUAACUUUUUAGUUUUUGGUAUUUAAUAUAAUUAGGGAUGGAAAGCAGGUAAAAUGAGAAUUCACCAAAACUGUAUUGAGCAUCUACUAAUCCCCAGGAAGUGUGCUAAGCCCUGGGAAUUCAAUCACGAUCCAGACAAUUCUUUCCCCUCAAGGAUAUAUGAGUUUUUUUUUGUUUUGUUUUGUUUUGUUUUGUUUUGUUUUUUUUGAGACAGUUUUGCUCUGUUGGCCCAGGUUGGAGUGCAGUGGCGCAAUCUCGGCUCACUGCAACCUCCGCCUCCCGGCUUCAAGAGAUUCUCCUGCCUCAGCCUCCCGAGUAGCUGGGAUUAUAGGUGCACGCGCCACCAUGCCCGGCUAAUUUUUCUUAUUUUUAGUAGAGACAGGGUUUCGCCAUGUUGGCCAGGCUGGUCUCAAACUCCUGACCUCAAGUGAUCCGCCUGCCUCGGCCUCCCAAAGUGCUGGGAUUAUAGGCAUAAGCCACCGUGCCCAGCCUUCUCAAGGAUAUAUGAGAUUUUAACUGAAGUUAUAUUUUGAAGUAGCAGCUUAAAAAGACAUAUUUGGUCUUGACACAUUUCACUUGGCAAGGUCUGAGGAAAAAAAUGCAUCAUAUUUCCCGCCUUUUCUUGUCCAAGAGAUGUUGAGAAGGGCAGUUUAAAUCCUGACUUACUAGCACUGUGAGACAGGACAAAGGCAGCUAGAACAAGUUAUCUAAUCUCUAAUAUAAUCUAAUGCUAUCUAACUAGCAUCAUUAGGUUACAAUGAACAGUUUUCUUUCAUCUCGUCAGUUACUGAGCCUCUGGUAAGAACGACGAGAAUUUAAAAUGUUUUAUCCAGGGCCAACUUCAUGUUUAACAACGUUAUACAAUAAAUUGUUAGAUUUCAUUUACAGACAUAGGCCAGGCAUUCCAAAGCCUGGCUGUAGUUAAGCUGGACACAGUUAAACCAUCUUCGGCAGCCUAUCUAGUUAGUUGACUACAACUAAGGUAUUGGGGAAUGAUGGUGGAUGGGGCCAAUCUUGGUUCAGAGAAAAACCCUCACUCUAGGGGUGGGCCACAAUCAACGCCAGCCAACUCUAUUGGGCAAAAUAAUCUGUUCUCACGAAGCUUUGAGAAGUGCAGACGUGGAGCUGGAGACUGGCAGGCGAGGAGAGGCACAGCUAGAUCAGCAGAACCAGUCCUGGUGAUGGAGCGGGUGGCAGCUGUUGCACAGAUCACCUUUUACCGCCUACCAUCUGAGCAACAUCCAGAAUCAGAAAAAUGUAAAGAACCCUAAAAUUCAUCUCCUUUGGUGAACUGCCUAAAUCCUUUUGCAAAAUUUGGUGUGUAGCUGCAUUUCUUUGGCAAGAAGAUCUGCAGUUCUUACUAGAUUCUCAAAGGAGUCUACGCCUGAAAAAACGAGACUCACCGAUAAGGUUCAACUUUCUCACUUACUAGAUGGAAAACUGAGAGACCCAGAGGAGGAAAAGCAGUUGCCUCAAGACAAACAGCAGCGAUAUCAAAACCGAAGGCAUUUCAAUUCAAUUCUAAUUCCAGCUUCACACUAUUGACCCUGGCCACGUCCAAUACCUCUUCGCUUCUCUGCAGGCCCUAAAAGAUCACCAGGAGGCGAGGGCUGGUGUCCGAGUCCAGGAGAGGUCGCAGGCAGUCCAGAUUCUAGCAUCACAGAAACUCUGGCCAAGCGCUCAGCCGGGUAUUGGCUGCCAUAAAGACCCCCUGUCCUUGUCCCCGCCCCGCGGAAUUCCGCUGCAUAGGUGACUCCAGGUAGAGGACCAAGCACAAGGAGAUCCCGGGGCGGUGGAGGCAGAGGACGACUGUGAAGAAUGACGCCUACUCAC